UUCCCAGCCAACGCACCAAAAAUGAUAUGGGUCUGUUGUCUGGAGAAAC
ensembl:miRNA MIR7977 microRNA 7977